UGAUAGACUGCUGAGUUCCUUCACCUUUCU
rnacentral:piRNA from 1 species